AAGAUUUUCCAUUCGAAUUUAACUUUAUUUUUCCUCUCCUCACGCCUUCCUCUGCCCUCUUUCACUCCUCUCAUCUCCUCCCACCUCCUCUUAUGAGUCUUGCGAAGGAGGAAGAAGCGCUGGAGAGAUAAAGGAAGAAGAGAAUGAGGUUAUAAUAGCAUUGGUAACUCCUAGUCUCCCUUCCUCCUACUAAUCUCUGACCUUGAAAGUUGUGUCAAACGUCAAUUUUGGGAUGUAGGUUGAAAUUGAUCAGUUGAUUCUGUUCCCGCGUCACGUCCAGAGGUUGCUCUCUUAAUAUCUAUUGAUCUGCAGAGGAAAUUAACGUGUUUUUUUGUGUUUUUGGUGAUUUAUGAGGAGGCGAAGGCAGGAGCGAAACUUGGUACGUGUAUAUUUCAGUUUGUUGCCUGCCAGGGACACACACGCACACAGACAGUGCCAACACACCCUGCAGCACCACAGCCAAUGCCACUCAGCUGAGGACGAACCACUGCUGACCCUGUUUGGCACUGUGAUCUGGGAGUGCCAUGACAGGACGACACGCGAGCCGCGACACACACACUCGGACAGAUGCACGGGACACAUGCUGAAUGAGCACCGCUGAGGAGAGGAGGCCAGCCAAGGUGCC